rnacentral:rRNA from 1 species
GAUGAACGCUGGCGGUAUGCCUAACACAUGCAAGUCGUACGAGAGUUUUUAACUCAAGUGGCGGACGGGUGAGUAACACGUGAGAAUUUGCCUUUAGGAGGGGGACAACAACUGGAAACGGUUGCUAAUACCCCAUAUGCUUUCGAGUGAAAUGAAUUUAUUCGCCUAAAGAGAAGCUCGCGGCUGAUUAGCUUGUUGGUGGGGUAAGAGCCUACCAAGGCGACGAUCAGUAUCUGGUUUGAGAGGACGAUCAGACACACUGGAACUGAGACACGGUCCAGACUCCUACGGGAGGCAGCAGUGGGGAAUUUUCCGCAAUGGGCGAAAGCCUGACGGAGCAAUACCGCGUGAAGGAAGACGGCCUAUGGGUUGUAAACUUCUUUUUUCAGGGAGGAAUUCAAUGACGUGUACCUGAAGAAUAAGCAUCGGCUAACUCCGUGCCAGCAGCCGCGGUAAGACGGAGGAUGCAAGUGUUAUCCGGAAUCACUGGGCGUAAAGCGUCUGUAGGUUGUUAAACAAGUCAACUGUUAAAUCUUGAGGCUCAACUUCAAAAUCGCAGUCGAAACUGUUUGACUAGAGUAUAGUAGGGGUAAAGGGAAUUUCCAGUGGAGCGGUGAAAUGCGUAGAUAUUGGAAAGAACACCGAUGGCGAAGGCACUUUACUGGGCUAUUACUGACACUCAGAGACGAAAGCUAGGGUAGCAAAUGGGAUUAGAUACCCCAGUAGUCCUAGCCGUAAACAAUGGAUACUAGAUGUUGAACAGAUCGACCUGUGCAGUAUCAAAGCUAACGCGUUAAGUAUCCCGCCUGGGAAGUAUGCUCGCAAGGGUGAAACUCAAAGGAAUUGACGGGGGCCCGCACAAGCGGUGGAGCAUGUGGUUUAAUUCGAUGCAACGCGAAGAACCUUACCAGGGUUUGACAUGAUACGAAUUUUUGUGAAAGCAGAAAGUGCCGU